AUCACACAGCCAAUCGAAAUUCCAAGUGUGUGAUGGAACCAAUUUGCGACUAUUAAACGCGCACCAGAGCAUCAAAGCAGAGCACAGCAGAGAGAGAGAGAAGAAACACAGAGAG